AGCCGCAGACGGUCUACAAUCCGCUAGCUGUCUUGCUCUGACUGGUGCACUGGACAUGAUUUCAAUGAGAGUCAUCAUACUGAUUGUUUAAUUCAAACAUGAAUUUCAGUUUGUUCGUUAAAGUACUAACUUAGCUGUGUAUUUACAGUGGACGUAGUGGUGCGUCGCAUGCGGUAGACUAGGUAUUUCCAUAUAUACACUAUGUUUACAGAAUUGCGGCCGGUGGAGCAACAUAGCUGAUGAGUAAAUAGCGCUAGUUCUUCAGACAAAUAACUUUAUUUUCAACCUAUAAAGCAUAUUUAGCUGUAGGUGGGGCCAUUUAGCUGUAAGAUCUGGCUUUGGUUCUGUUAAGCCCUUAGAGUAAUGAAUUUCAGAGUGAAGACCAUAGCGCCUUUUCCUAGUCAAGUAUCAGGCAGCUGUAUGUCUUUUCAGAAAUGCACAUGUCUUCUUUAGUAUGUCAUUGUGAUUGCUUUUAAGAUAGGCAAUAAACUCAUAACCUUUAGAAAAAGGAGCAUCUGUAAAUUCAGAUUUCACUAUUUCAGAGUCAGCCAGACCAUGAUUGAGCUUAAGGAUUGUGCUGCGGAUGCGGCCUGUGCAGUUCCGGGAGAAAGUCACUGUCUUGGGCAUUGCGGUCUGGUAUCAGGUCUGGAUGAUCCUUGCCUGACUCCGGGUUUGUGUACACCUCAAUCCGACUCCCUGUCCGGUACCGAGGCCGCAGUGGUGCAGCGCUUGUGGACGAUCCAUCGACAUCCUGAAAGGUCAACACUUCACCAAGCUGGGAAAAUUGAUCCUGAUAGUCAUCCCCAGAGUCAGCCAGACCAUGAUUGAGCUUAAGGAUUGUGCUGCGGAUGCGGCCUGUGCAGUUCCGGGAGAAAGUCACUGUCUUGGGCAUUGCGGUCUGGUAUCAGGUCUGGAUGAUCCUUGCCUGACUCCGGGUUUGUGUACACCUCAAUCCGACUCCCUGUCCGGUACCGAGGCCGCAGUGGUGCAGCGCUUGUGGACGAUCCAUCGACAUCCUGAAAGGUCAACACUUCACCAAGCUGGGAAAAUUGAUCCUGAUAGUCAUCCCCAGAGUCAGCCAGACCAUGAUUGAGCUAAAGGAUUGUGCUGCGGAUGCGGCCUGUGCAGUUCCGGGAGAAAGUCACUGUCUUGGGCAUUGCGGUCUGGUAUCAGGUCUGGAUGAUCCUUGCCUGACUCCGGGUUUGUGUACACCUCAAUCCGACUCCCUGUCCGGUACCGAGGCCGCAGUGGUGCAGCGCUUGUGGACGAUCCAUCGACAUCCUGAAAGGUCAACACUUCACCAAGCUGGGAAAAUUGAUCCUGAUAGUCAUCCCCAGAGUCAGCCAGACCAUGAUUGAGCUUAAGGAUUGUGCUGCGGAUGCGGCCUGUGCAGUUCCGGGAGAAAGUCACUGUCUUGGGCAUUGCGGUCUGGUAUCAGGUCUGGAUGAUCCUUGCCUGACUCCGGGUUUGUGUACACCUCAAUCCGACUCCCUGUCCGGUACCGAGGCCGCAGUGGUGCAGCGCUUGUGGACGAUCCAUCGACAUCCUGAAAGGUCAACACUUCACCAAGCUGGGAAAAUUGAUCCUGAUAGUCAUCCCCAGAGUCAGCCAGACCAUGAUUGAGCUUAAGGAUUGUGCUGCGGAUGCGGCCUGUGCAGUUCCGGGAGAAAGUCACUGUCUUGGGCAUUGCGGUCUGGUAUCAGGUCUGGAUGAUCCUUGCCUGACUCCGGGUUUGUGUACACCUCAAUCCGACUCCCUGUCCGGUACCGAGGCCGCAGUGGUGCAGCGCUUGUGGACGAUCCAUCGACAUCCUGAAAGGUCAACACUUCACCAAGCUGGGAAAAUUGAUCCUGAUAGUCAUCCCCAGAGUCAGCCAGACCAUGAUUGAGCUUAAGGAUUGUGCUGCGGAUGCGGCCUGUGCAGUUCCGGGAGAAAGUCACUGUCUUGGGCAUUGCGGUCUGGUAUCAGGUCUGGAUGAUCCUUGCCUGACUCCGGGUUUGUGUACACCUCAAUCCGACUCCCUGUCCGGUACCGAGGCCGCAGUGGUGCAGCGCUUGUGGACGAUCCAUCGACAUCCUGAAAGGUCAACACUUCACCAAGCUGGGAAAAUUGAUCCUGAUAGUCAUCCCCAGGUAGUGAAAUGAAUGUACACUGAACUACAGAGGAAUCACACCCAAAUGACUUUUCCGACAUUAGUGUGGCCCCUCGGGCAGGAAUUCCUUAGCAAACAUGUUUAUUUGCAUGGGGACUGUGGCAUUUUUGCAAAACUUAAGCUUUCAACGCUGGAUUUUAAAGAGAACACUUAAUAAAAUGAAGCCAACAGGACUUAUUUUAAUGAGAGAGACUAUCUGGAUGAGCAACAAAUGUCACAUUGUGUCGUAAGCUGUUGAAGGAGCGAUUUGCGCCAUUUCAAGUGUUAAUUUUGGGUAGCAGGCUUGUAUCGGCUUGAAAGCUGCAAAUUAUUCCUCUCAUCAUGAUAGCAUUAAUUAUUUUAAUUGCAAUGUGUAUGUUUAGAUUGUAAGUGAAGCUUUUAAUAAUAAUUUUCUUGAAAAACAUGA